UACGAAGGGGGCUAGCGUUGCUCGGAAUUACUGGGCGUAAAGGGCGCGUAGGCGGACAGUUGAGUCAGAGGUGAAAGCCCAGGGCUCAACCUUGGAAUUGCCUUUGAUACUGGCUGUCUUGAGUUCGGGAGAGGUGAGUGGAAUGCCGUGUGUAGAGGUGAAAUUCGUAGAUAUUCGGCGGAACACCAGUGGCGAAGGCGACUCUCUGGCCCGAUACUGACGCUGAGGCGCGAAAGCGUGGGGAGCAAACAGG
rnacentral:rRNA from 1 species